ensembl:snRNA U6 U6 spliceosomal RNA
CUUUGGCUGCCAAAGUUCUGCCAAAAGAAAAACUAGCAUGGCCCCUGCUCAAGGAUGACACGCAAAUUCAUGAAGCAUUCCAUAUUUAA